AGCGAACGCUGGCGGCAGGCCUAACACAUGCAAGUCGAGCGCCCCGCAAGGGGAGCGGCAGACGGGAGAGUAACACGUGGGAACGUGCCCUUCAGUUCGGAACAACCAAGGGAAACUUUGGCUAAUACCGGAUACGUCCGAAAGGAGAAAGAUUUAUCGCUGAAGGAUCGGCCCGCGUCUGAUUAGCUAGUUGGUGGGGUAAUGGCCCACCAAGGCGACGAUCAGUAGCUGGUCUGAGAGGAUGAUCAGCCUCACUGGGACUGAGACACGGCCCAGACUCCUACGGGAGGCAGCAGUGGGGAAUAUUGGACAAUGGGCGCAAGCCUGAUCCAGCCAUGCCGCGUGGAUGAUGAAGGCCCUAGGGUUGUAAAGUCCUUUCGGCGGGGAAGAUAAUGACGGUACCCGCAGAAGAAGCCCCGGCUAACUUCGUGCCAGCAGCCGCGAGUAAGAC
rnacentral:rRNA from 1 species